rnacentral:rRNA from 1 species
UACGUAGGGGGCUAGCGUUGUCCGGAAUCAUUGGGCGUAAAGCGCGCGUAGGCGGCCCGGUAAGUCCGUUGUAAAAGUCAAAGGCUCAACCUUUGAAAGCCGAUGGAUACUGCCGGGCUAGAGUCCGGAAGAGGCGAGUGGAAUUCCUGGUGUAGCGGUGAAAUGCGCAGAUAUCAGGAGGAACACCAAUUGCGAAGGCAGCUCGCUGGGACGUGACUGACGCUGAGACGCGAAAGCGUGGGGAGCAAACAGG